GACGAACGCUGGCGGCGUGCUUAACACAUGCAAGUCGAACGGAAAGGCCCUGCUUUUGUGGGGUGCUCGAGUGGCGAACGGGUGAGUAACACGUGAGUAACCUGCCCUUGACUUUGGGAUAACUUCAGGAAACUGGGUCUAAUACCGGAUAGGAGCUCCUGCUGCAUGGUGGGGGUUGGAAAGUUUCGGCGGUUGGGGAUGGACUCGCGGCUUAUCAGCUUGUUGGUGGGGUAGUGGCUUACCAAGGCUUUGACGGGUAGCCGGCCUGAGAGGGUGACCGGCCACAUUGGGACUGAGAUACGGCCCAGACUCCUACGGGAGGCAGCAGUGGGGAAUAUUGCACAAUGGGCGGAAGCCUGAUGCAGCAACGCCGCGUGCGGGAUGACGGCCUUCGGGUUGUAAACCGCUUUCGCCUGUGACGAGGCGUGAGUGACGGUAAUGGGUAAAGAAGCACCGGCUAACUACGUG
rnacentral:rRNA from 1 species